rnacentral:rRNA from 1 species
CCUACGGGUGGCAGCAGUGAGGAAUAUUGGUCAAUGGGCGAGAGCCUGAACCAGCCAAGUCGCGUGCAGGAUGACGGAUCUAUGGUUUGUAAACUUCUUUUAUAUGGGAAUAAAGUGCGGAACGUGUUCCUUUUUGUAUGUACCGUAUGAAUAAGCAUCGGCUAACUCCGUGACAGCAGCCGCGGUAAUACGGAGGAUGCAAGCGUUAUCCGGAUUUAUUGGGUUUAAAGGGUGCGUAGGUGGUUCAAUAAGUCAGCGGUGAAAGUUUGUGGCUCAACCCUAAAAUUGCCGUUGAUACUGGUGGGCUAGAGUAUAUUUGCGGUAGGCGGAAUGCGUGGUGUAGCGGUGAAAUGCAUAGAGAUCACGCAGAACUCCGAUUGCGAAGGCAGUUUACCAAACUACGACUGACACUGAGGCACGAAAGCGUGGGGAGCAAACAGGAUUAGAUACCCUAGUAGUC